rnacentral:rRNA from 1 species
GACGAACGCUGGCGGCGUGCUUAACACAUGCAAGUCGAGCGAGGCCCUCUCUUCGGAGAGGUGCCCUAGCGGCGAACGGGUGAGUAACACGUGGGCAACCUGCCCCUAGCACUGGGAUAAGCCGAGGAAACUCGGUCUAAUACCGGAUAUGACCUUCGAGGGCAUCCUUGAAGGUGUAAAGGAUUCUGGCUAGGGAUGGGCCCGCGGCCUAUCAGCUUGUUGGUGGGGUAACGGCCCACCAAGGCAA